rnacentral:lncRNA from 1 species
CGUCCCCCCUCCCGGGGAGCAGUCCGUCCUCACUUACGACUGGGGACGGCCCAAGAGUCAAGCAGCGGGGCCGCAUCGUGCAUGCCUUGUCGCGAGCACCGGCACGUGUAGGGCUGAGCGACGUAUUUCUGAGGAGGCGCUGAAGGCGGCUGCUAGGGCUCGGGAGCGUGCUGGUCGCUGGUGGGUGGGGCUUUGGGGGCGUGAAGGCGCGGGUCAGUUUUGCACGGCGCCUUUGCAAGCUUGGGCGUCAGGCGGGCAGGUCGGCAGGUGCAUGGGCUGCUGGGGCUUUGCCGCAUGCAGUGUGUUGCACGAUUGCCAUUGCUUCGCGUUGUUUUGCUGGUGGUGCGCUAACGUACUCUUUACUGUAUUGGGAAUAUGUGCGGUUGAAGACAGGACGUCAGCACGUCAGCUGAACGACACGUGUCAGGGCGAAUGGGCAGUGGACGAUGGAGCAGACUGUUUGUGAAGUACACAGCAGGUUGUUGUUAUUGUUUUUGUUGAUGGUGGGUAGGCGCCAUCGGAGCGGGCGGAGAGGGAGCGGCUGUUGCUCUGCUGGCUGUUACUUUUGGUUGCUUAGGGAACAGCAAUGGCCCUAUCGCACGAAAAACCCUCCUGUUUGUUAUCUCUCCUUCGCCUCGUAUCUGUUAUUCGUUCUUGUGGAAAGGUGCAUUGGUAAUGGUAAUGUCUUUUGGUGACCCGGGGAGUUGAGGGGACCCCUCCUGGCCGCCGGGUUGGUCGAGUUGGGGAUUGCGACAUUGCAUUGCUUGAGGAGGGGGUGCGGCUUGUGUGGGGAUUGAACAGAGGGGAGGGAGAGAUACGCCUGUUUGCCUUAAUAAGCAUUUCGAAACUGGCUCUGGGCAUACCCGCUCCAGAACCGCCACGCAACCGUCUUACAUAUCUGUCGGCCAUGUGUUUGCUUAGGACUAUCCCAGAUGGCCAGAUUCCUUCCACGAGGGCAGCUUAGCUUUCCACUGGAUCAUACGCAAAGGAACAUCUGCCACAUCUAGUACUCAUCAGUAGUUUUUUUGCAUCAUCAGGACACGCACUCGAUAUCAGUGGCCAAAUCUACGUCGCAUACGUAUUUGUAAUUAGACAUACUUGGACAUGUAAAAGCUCAACAAGCCUACACACAUCGCGUAUGGCGUCUGUAGUUCCCAGUUCCCUCUGUCCUUGCCAGGGGUUCAACAUCCGUCACUCUCGACUUUCACCUACACCGAUCUAGGCAGCGCAAACGUGCUUCGUGCAUGAGGGUAUUAUGGAUGCCCCAUGAUGACUGUUAUGCUUGCCAUGCACAAAGAUGCAAUGGUGCGUAGAGGACGUUCAGGUGAUGGCACCGGUCACAAUCUCCUAUUUGCAGGAUCCCUUGCAAGUAGACAGCUGAAGAGGUGAUCUCAGGAAGGUGUAAGAUACGCCUCAUGCAACUGUGUGAUUUCCCCAGAAAAGUACUCCUCAAUUGCAUGUCGCUGAGCAGUGGAACAGUAGAAGGGUGGUGCAGUGCCUACAGGCCAAGGGAAGGUUCACAUAAUGUUAAUAAUAACGUCGUCUGGCGUUACUCUGGUCUAGCUAGUAGAGGCCAGUAGCCAGAUAGACUCGACCCAAAGACCAAAGGAUGCAGCUUAAACGUGCAUUAUCACAACCUGAGACAAAAAAACAUGCAAAGGUCUUUAAUUUUGGGGGGCUGUUCGCCUCCAAGGUUUGCUCAGAGGUUUGCCUUUACUCCGAAAAGGAUGGGAACACCAUCUGUCGCAAUUGCAACAAAAUUUAAGCUAAAAUUCAGGCUUUAAAAUAAUGUGCACAAAUAUGGAUUAUUUUUGGGGUACUCAGAAC